rnacentral:rRNA from 1 species
CCUACGGGAGGCAGCAGUGGGGAAUAUUGGACAAUGGGCGAAAGCCUGAUCCAGCAAUGCCGCGUGAGUGAUGAAGGCCUUAGGGUUGUAAAGCUCUUUUACCAGGGAUGAUAAUGACAGUACCUGGAGAAUAAGCUCCGGCUAACUCCGUGCCAGCAGCCGCGGUAAUACGGAGGGAGCUAGCGUUGUUCGGAAUUACUGGGCGUAAAGCGUGCGUAGGCGGUGAUUCAAGUCAGAGGUGAAAGCCUGGAGCUCAACUCCAGAACGGCCUUUGAAACUAGAUCGCUAGAAUUAUGGAGAGGUAAGUGGAAUUCCGAGUGUAGAGGUGAAAUUCGUAGAUAUUCGGAAGAACACCAGUGGCGAAGGCGACUUACUGGACAUAUAUUGACGCUGAGGUACGAAAGCGUGGGGAGCAAACAGGAUUAGAUACCCUGGUAGUCCACGCCGUAAACGAUGAUAACUAGCUGUUCGGGCUCUCAGAGCUUGAGUGGCGCAGCUACGCAUUAAGUUAUCCGUCCGUGGGAGGUACGGUCGCGAAGAAGUUAAAACGUUAAAAGUAAGUUAGUACGGACGUAGUAACGUACGACCGACGGACGACGACGAGGGAGGAGG